rnacentral:rRNA from 1 species
CUAGCUUGCUAGAUUGAUGGCGAGUGGCGAACGGGUGAGUAAUACAUCGGAACGUGCCCUGUAGUGGGGGAUAACUAGUCGAAAGAUUAGCUAAUACCGCAUACGACCUGAGGGUGAAAGUGGGGGACCGCAAGGCCUCAUGCUAUAGGAGCGGCCGAUGUCUGAUUAGCUAGUUGGUGAGGUAAAGGCUCACCAAGGCGACGAUCAGUAGCUGGUCUGAGAGGACGAUCAGCCACACUGGGACUGAGACACGGCCCAGACUCCUACGGGAGGCAGCAGUGGGGAAUUUUGGACAAUGGGCGAAAGCCUGAUCCAGCAAUGCCGCGUGUGUGAAGAAGGCCUUCGGGUUGUAAAGCACUUUUGUCCGGAAAGAAAUGGCUCUGGUUAAUACCUGGGGUCGAUGACGGUACCGGAAGAAUAAGGACCGGCUAACUACGUGCCAGCAGCCGCGGUAAUACGUAGGGUCCAAGCGUUAAUCGGAAUUACUGGGCGUAAAGCGUGCGCAGGCGGUUGUGCAAGACCGAUGUGAAAUCCCCGAGCUUAACUUGGGAAUUGCAUUGGUGACUGCACGGCUAGAGUGUGUCAGAGGGGGGUAGAAUUCCACGUGUAGCA